rnacentral:lncRNA from 1 species
CAGAGAUGCAAACUGAGGAGACAGAGCCAGUUGGAGAGAAACCAUCAGGAACGUAUUGGUCCCUGUCUGCAACUGAGGCCUUCUGCUUGUUUCUCUCUGCUCCAGUGCCAUCAAAAAGAAAGAAAGAAAGAAAAAGCUACAAACAUGAGUCAAGGCUGUAUAUAGCAGCUCUGGAUCCUAUCCCAGUUGGGUUGACUACUUUGGGCUCAGUGUCUCUUGGCUUUCUUGAGCAAAGACUGACUGUGCCUUCUCUCCAGAGAGUCAAAGCCAUCAUCUACUGCAGGAGUUCAACCAGACGCUGAACAGAACAGCAGUUGACUAACCUGUGAUACUGUUAUCAGAUGAAGACCCCUAGGAAGUCUACAGAUUAGAAUGGAAGGAAGAAUCUGGAUUACAGCUUGGAUCAGAGAAGAAGAGUCUUGGUUUUUAUAUAAUUAAGAGGCAAGAAGUAUGGCAAGCAUGGCAAGGAACUCUUAUUUCCAGUUUAAAGAAGGGGCGGGAGUCUCCCUACUGAGCUCCACUUUUCUUUGGAGGCAAGAGGAGUGGCAUUUGUAACUCUGGGUAAGAGUUGAAAUU